UAUUGUCUAAAAUUGAUGUCCACAAUCCAGUGUUUGACUACAUACCGCCAGAUUUAGUAAACCUUUGCAUUUCAAACAUUGGUGGUUAUUCUCCGUCUUACGUGUAUCGACUUGUCAGUGAGCUAUAUCAUGCAGAUGACAACUGCUUAUGACAAGGCCAGUAGUGGCUGCGCCCAUGUACACGACUAUUCUCACAGAAGCACACUUUCACACACGACUCCUGUUUGAUAUGAAGUGGCUUCUUUAGUAUUCGCCAGCGAGAGAACUUGUAAAAUACAUAGUAAAGCACGGAGAGGUUGGCGGUGGGAAAAUAAAGAAAUAAACUAGAAGUAGUCGU